GAUGAACGCUGGCGGCGUGCCUAAUACAUGCAAGUCGAACGAAAAUUCUUUAUGCCCGCUUGCUUGCCCUCACCGGUGAAGGGUUGAGUGACAAGCGGGUGACUAACACAUAGGCAACCGACCCAAACGGGGGGGCUGACCCAUUGAAGCAUAAUAUAUUGAACCGUAAGCUUCAUUAGCGCAUGAUGACUUUGUAGACAGUGACUGUACUACCCGCGCCGCAUUAGCUAGUUGGUAAGGUAACGGCUUACCAAGGCAAGGAUGCGUAGCCGACCUGAGAGGGUGAUCGGCCACACUGGGACUGAGACACGGUCCAGACUCCUACGGGAGGCAGCAGUAGGGAAUCUUCCACAAUGGGCGAAAGCCUGACGGAGCAACGCCGCGUGGGUGAUGAAGGUCUUCGGAUCGUAAAACCCUGUUGUUAGGGAAGAACGAGUGUGAGAGUAACUGUGCACGUCUUGACGGUACCUAAUCAGAAAGCCACGGCUAACUACGUG
rnacentral:rRNA from 1 species